UACGAACCGAGCGAACGUUGUUCGGAAUCACUGGGCUUAAAGGGCGCGUAGGCGGGUGCUCAAGUCCGUGGUGAAAUCCUCCGGCUCAACCGGAGAACUGCCUCGGAUACUGGGUGCCUCGAGGGUGGUAGGGGUAUGCGGAACUAUCGGUGGAGCGGUGAAAUGCGUUGAUAUCGAUAGGAACUCCGGUGGCGAAGGCGGCAUACUGGACCACCUCUGACGCUGAGGCGCGAAAGCCAGGGGAGCAAACGGG
rnacentral:rRNA from 1 species